UACAGAGGUCUCAAGCGUUGUUCGGAUUCAUUGGGCGUAAAGGGUGCGUAGGCGGCGCGGUAAGUCGGGUGUGAAAUCUCGGAGCUUAACUCCGAAACUGCAUUCGAUACUGCCGUGCUUGAGGACUGGAGAGGAGACUGGAAUUUACGGUGUAGCGGUGAAAUGCGUAGAUAUCAGGAGGAACACCGGUGGCGAAGGCG
rnacentral:rRNA from 1 species